GGGAAAGAGUUGUAGCACAGUGCUAGAGCAUCUGCUUUGCAUGCAAAAUGUCCCAGCUUCAAUUCCUGACAUCCCCA